rnacentral:rRNA from 1 species
AUGGGGACCCGGCGGUGGGUCGCGGCGGCGGCGGCGGUCAUGGUGGCGCUCUUGCUGCUGUCCGCAGCCUCUCACGGAGGACGGAGAGGACCCAGUUUCAACAGCAACAACCGGACUUUUGUUUUUAAUUAUACCCUGGCGAAGACUAUCGUGGAAUAUGCUUCAGCUGUGUAUAUGACGGACCUAACAGCUCUAUAUACAUGGACGUGCUCAAGAUGUAAUGACUUGACUAAAGGUUUUGAGAUUAGGUGUAUAAUUGUCGAUAUCCAGAACUGCUUGCAGGCAUUCAUUGGUGUUGAUCAUAAUCUCAAUGCUGUAAUCGUCGCAAUCAGGGGAACUCAAGAGAACAGUGUACAGAACUGGAUUAAGGACCUGGUAUGGAAGCAGGUUGACCUAAACUAUCCAAACAUGCCCGAUGCGAAGGUCCACACUGGAUUUUACUCUGCUUACAAUAAUACACUUUUACGUCCAGCCAUCACAAAUGCUGUUCGCAAGGCAAGGAGAUUGUAUGGCGAUAUUAGCGUGAUAGUUACAGGGCAUUCGAUGGGAGGAGCUAUGGCUUCUUUCUGUGCACUUGAUCUCGCUAUUAGCCUUGGAAGUGACAGUGUUCAUCUCAUGACUUUUGGGCAACCACGUAUUGGCAAUGCUGCCUUUGCCUCCUACUUUGAACAAUAUGUACCCAGUGCGAUCCGAGUGACACAUGAACAUGAUAUCGUGCCUCAUUUGCCCCCUUAUUUCUUCUUCCUCCCGCACCUGACAUACCACCACUUCCCUAGAGAGGUAUGGGAGCAUGACGUUGAUGGCAACACAACCUUCCGAGUUUGCGACGGCAGCGGAGAAGAUCCAGAUUGUUGCAGGAGUGUGUUUGCGUUGUUCCUCAGUGCCUCAGACCAUCUGACGUACAUGGGUGUUGAGAUAGCAGCAGAUGACUGGAGCACCUGCAGAAUCGUCAUGGCCCAGAGCGUCGAGCGGCUCCAAUUGUAUCUUGCGAGUAAUGUGAUCACGUCGAAGAUCCCUGUCGAUAUAAUCAUUGCGGAUCAUAGCGUGCAGACUGAUCCGAGCAGUUCCAGCUAG